CACGUAUGGGGCGAGCGUUGUUCGGAAUUAUUGGGCGUAAAGGGUAUGCAGGCGGUCAUGUAAGUCUGGUGUGUAAACCCGCAGCUUAACUGCGGAGCCGCACUGGAAACUGUGUGACUAGAGUACAGGAAGGGGAGUUGGAAUUCCAGGUGUAGGGGUGAAAUCUGUAGAUAUCUGGAAGAACAUCAGUGGCGAAGGCGAACUCCUGGCCAUGUACUGACGCUGAGAUACGAAAGCGUGGGGAG
rnacentral:rRNA from 1 species